rnacentral:rRNA from 1 species
AGAGUUUGAUCCUGGCUCAGACGAACGCUGGCGGCGUGCCUAACACAUGCAAGUCGAGCGAUGAAGUUCCUUCGGGAAACGGAUUAGCGGCGGACGGGUGAGUAACACGUGGGUAACCUGCCUUAUAGUGGGGGAUAGCCUUUCGAAAGGAAGAUUAAUACCGCAUAAGAUUGUAGUAUCGCAUGAUAUAGCAAUUAAAGGAGCAAUUCGCUAUAAGAUGGACCCGCGUCGCAUUAGCUAGUUGGUGAGGUAAUGGCUCACCAAGGCGACGAUGCGUAGCCGACCUGAGAGGGUGAUCGGCCACAUUGGGACUGAGACACGGCCCAGACUCCUACGGGAGGCAGCAGUGGGGAAUAUUGCACAAUGGGCGAAAGCCUGAUGCAGCAACGCCGCGUGAGUGAUGACGGCCUUCGGGUUGUAAAACUCUGUCUUCAGGGACGAUAAUGACGGUACCUGAGG